GAAUAUGGAUUGCCAUCUUCUCACACUCUAAACACAGUUUGCUUGUCUAGGUAAAUACUAUUUAUCUUGUCAUAUAAAUUCAGCUACGGAAACUAAGCACAACAUUAUAGAAAGCUCUGCUUUGAUCAUCGACCUUUAUGUAUACUUAUUGAUAAUAAGUAUUCUAAUUUUGUUAAACAUAUAGCGGCUAUGAAAGUUUUGGUUAUAUUUUCUAACUCAGUAGCAGUGAUAUGAGGUUGAAUGGUUUGGGUUUUGGUUGAUUAGUAGGUGAUGCCACAUAUGAAUGAGGUUUGUUGUGAGAACAUGAAUGAGAUCUGUUUAUCUGAAUGAGGUUUGGUUAUCGGGUUAAACCAUUGCUUGUUGUGGUAGAUGCAGUUUUAAAGUUCAUUAGCAGUGAUACAUACAGUAGCAGCAGCGCUAUCAUCAGAGUCGGCUCGGCAGUAGCAGCGCUAACGUCAAAGUUGGCAGUAACAACACUCUAGCAUUAGAGUCGACAGUAGCAGCACGAUAGUAGCAGCUUUGUUUGAUUCCGGAGAAUUGCCUGAAAAAUUGCAAUAACUCAUUUUUAUCGGGUGCUACUGUGCUACGUGGCAGUAGCACCCAAUGUGCUAUGUGCUACAAUGCUUCUUGGCAGUGUGCUACUGUGCUACUGUGCUACUUGGCAGUAGCACCGAAUGUGCUACUACGCUACUCGGAAGUGUGCUACUGUACUACAAGUCGACAGUAGCAGUUGAUAUGUAGUGAAGGGUAUUCUGGUAAAAUUGUAGUGACAGAUGUCAUGUAGAUAUUAGUUUGUCCUAAUUUGUUAAUAUUUGUCCUUAAAUGUGUAAGAUAUUAUGUAAAUGAUGUAUUUGUAAACUGAAAUUUGGUUACUAAAAAUAGUAACUUUAUAGUAAUUUACUAAAAAUAGUAACAAGGGGUAGUUUGGGUUUUUGGGCAAAAAAUGAGGACCAAAAAUUGAAAUGUGGGACCUCUUGUUAGCUCCAACUCAGCGCAUGACGUCAUAAUCAGAUGGAAAUUUGAAAUUUGGAGUGGACUGAUGCGAUUUAGAAGUUCAGGGAUGAGUCUGAUUAAAAAAAAGAUGAGGGACCGAACUGAUUUUAACCUUAAAGUUUGAAGGGGUAAACUGAAGGUGAUAGUUCAUAUAUUUGAAUAUGUGUCUGUGCUAAUUAUAUAAAUAUUUGAAUAUGUGUAUGUGCUCAUAUAUUGUUUGAAGUUGAUAGUUCUAUUGUUUGAAGGUGAUAGUUCUGGCAAUCUGACAUGAUAAAUAGUUAUACAAAAUGAUGUCUUCAUGUUUACUGUUCGAUAAGUAUUAAUAAUUGAAGUAUGUUUAUAUAUGCUUGCAUUUGAUAUUCAAUCUGCUGCAUCAUGAUGACCGCAUUAUGCAUCUCCUUUUACAUGUCAAAUUAUAUACUGCUAGUAAAGAAACACAAAACCAAAGAGUUUUGGGUAAUAUAGUCCCCUGCAAACUUGAUUUAUACAACAGUACAUGCAUAAUGCUUCUUUUGGCUUAGAGAUAUGGCAAAUACUUGUGUGUCUUAAGGUAUGGAUACCUUAACCACAUGGUUGCUUAUGAUUGGUCCAACUAGAUUAAUGAUGACCUGCUACCUGUUUGACUGGUCAUCCAAUUUAAAUCUCAAACUAAGUCUCACUCUCUCACUAACGGGGUUAGUCUCUCUCUCUCUCUCUAUCUCUCUAACUCAAACAAUUUGAACACCUUUAUCUCGUAGAUCUCUCUCUCUUUUCUCAUCGAUAUGUCAAUUUCUUACUAAAAUUGAUCUCGUUGCAAGAAACUAAUUCCUCUUGUAUGCUCUCUUGAGAUUAAACUCAACGAAGGCAAAAGUUGCAAAGUUUACAUUUAACAUAAGACACGUCUACUAUUUUCAUUAGAAACAUCUACCAUUAACAUAAGAGAAAUCAAAGAAAAGUAGACUUUCUGGAAAAUUAAAUUGUUCUUGAGAUUGAAGCAAAUUAACCAAGGUAAAAAAUGCAAAGUCUACUUGUAACAUAAGACACAACAACUUUUUUCAUAAGAAAUGGCUACCAUUAACAUAAGAGAAAUCAAAGAAAAGUAGACUUUCUGGAAAUCUAAAUUGUUCUUGAGAUUGAAGCAACCCAAGGUAAAAGAUACAAAGUCUACAUUUAACAUAAGACACCUCUACUAUUUUCAUUAGAAAUGUCUACCAUUAACAUAAGAGAAAUUAAAGAAAAGUAGACUUUCUGGAAACCUAAAUUGUUCCUGAGAUUGAACCAACCCAAGGUAAAAGAUGCAAAGUCUAUAUUUAACAUAAGACACAACUACUUUUUUCAUAAGAAAUGUCUACCAUUAACAUAAGAGAAAUCAAAGAAAAGUAGACUUUCUGGAAAUACUAAAUUGUUCUUGAGAUUGAAUUAAUAAUGGAAGAUGAAAGUUGCAAAGUCUACAUUUAACAUAAGACACGUCGACUAUUUUCAUUAGAAACGUCUACCAUUAACAUAAGAGAAAUCAAAGAAAAAUAGAUUUUCUGGAAAAUUAAAUUGUUCUUGAGAUUGAAGCAAAUUAACCAAGGUAAAAAAUGCAAACUCUACAUGUAACAUAAGAAACAACAAUUUUUUUCAUAAGAAAUGGCUACCAUUAACAUAAGAGAAAUCAAAGAAAAGUAGACUUUCUGGAAAUCUAAAUUGUUCUUGAGAUUGAAGCAACCUAAGGUAAAAGAUACAAAGUCUACAUUUAACAUAAGACACCUCUACUAUUUUCAUGAGAAAUGUCUACAAUUAACAUAAGAGAAAUCAAAUAAAAGUAGACUUUAUGGAAAUCUAAAUUGUUCUUGAGAUUGAACCAACCCAAGGUAAAAGAUGCAAAGUCUACAUUUAACAUAAGACACAACUACUUUUUUCAUAAGAAAUGUCUACCAUUAACAUAAGAGAAAUCAAAGAAAAGUAGACUUUCUGGAAAUCUAAAUUGUUCUGGAGAUUGAAUCAAUCAUGGAAGAUGAAAGUUGCAAAGCCUACAUUUAACAUAAAACACGUCUAAUAUUUUCAUUACAAACGUACUAACUAUUUUCAUUACAAACGUCUACCAUUAACAUAAGAGAAUUAAAAAAAGUAGACUUUCUGGAAAAUUAAAUUGUUCUUAAGAUUGAAGCAAAUUAACCAAGGUAAAAAUAGCAAAGUCUACAUUUAACAUAAGACACAACAACUUUUUUCAUAAGAAAUG
rnacentral:lncRNA from 1 species